CGGGGUGCAGCAGGCGCGAAAACUUUACAAUGCCGGCAACGGCGAUAAGGGAACCUCGAGUGCCAGGUUACAAAUCUGGCUGUCGUGAUGCCUAAAAAGCAUUGCAUAGCAAGGGCCGGGCAAGACCGGUGCCAGCCGCCGCGGUAACACCGGCGGCUCGAGUGGUAACCGUUAUUAUUGGGUCUAAAGGGUCUGUAGCCGGCCGGGUAAGUCUCUUGGGAAAUCCGGCAGCUCAACUGUCAGGCUUUCAGGAGAUACUGCUUGGCUCGAGGCCGGGAGAGGUGAGAGGUACUUCAGGGGUAGGGGUGAAAUCUUGUAAUCCUUGAAGGACCACCAGUGGCGAAGGCGUCUCACCAGAACGGACCUGACGGCAAGGGACGAAAGCUAGGGGCACGAACCGGAUUAGAUACCCGGGUAGUCCUAGCCGUAAACGAUACUCGCUAGGUGUCGGCCACGGUGCGACCGUGGUCGGUGCCGUAGGGAAGCCGUGAAGCGAGCCACCUGGGAAGUACGGCCGCAAGGCUGAAACUUAAAGGAAUUGG
rnacentral:rRNA from 1 species